UACGUAGGGCGCAAGCGUUGUCCGGAAUUAUUGGGCGUAAAGAGCUCGUAGGCGGCCAGUUGCGUCUGCUGUGAAAUCCCGGGGCUCAACCCCGGGCGUGCAGUGGAUACGGGCUGGCUAGAGGCAGGCAGGGGAGAACGGAAUUCCCGGUGUAGCGGUGAAAUGCGCAGAUAUCGGGAGGAACACCGGUGGCGAAGGCGGUUCUCUGGGCCU
rnacentral:rRNA from 1 species